rnacentral:piRNA from 1 species
UNGAAGAGCACAGUUGCUGAAGAUGAUUGC